GGUCGUCUAGGAGAUCUGGGACCCACAGGGGUAGAGGGACCACAGGGUCCCCCGGGCCUCCAGGGCUCAGAUGGAACGACAGGGAGGCCAGGACCCAGAGGAAGCAAAGGGCCUGUGGGGCCCGAAGGUCCAGACGGACCAGCAGGAAUACCAGGAGUGGUAGGUGCUGAUGGACUAAUAGGACCAGCAGGGGAAAGAGGAGAAAUGGUAAGUACAAGUAAAACAACAUGAUGCCAAUCAUUUAUCAUGGGUGGAAAAUUUGUCAUAACCUUUUCAAGAAAUUCUGGUCUAUGAAUUAUGUAUUUCUUGCUUAUUGCCAGCACAUUGUUUUGGUACUUCACAGGGGAUGCUCGGACCUCCAGGUGAUCUUGGUCCUCCUGGACUGGACGGGGAAAAGGGUCCUCCUGGCCGAUCAGGGUUGGAGGGGCCACAAGGACCAAAAGGAGAACAGGGGGACCUAGGGUCUUGUGGGAAGCUGGGUCCUCCAGGACAUGCUGGAGAUCGAGGUCUACAGGGGCUCAAAGGCUUGCAAGGCUCUCCUGGGCCAAUGGGAAAAGAGGGUAAUGUUGGACUUCCUGGUCUUGAUGGUGGCUCAGGUCCCAAAGGGAAGAAGGUAAACCAACACUUGUCCAUGCUACCUAUCUAUCCAUUUAUUAAAGCUCAUACAGUCCCCCCCAAAAGUAUUGGAACGGUAAGGCAAAUUCCUUUGUUUUUGUUGUUCACUGAAGACAUUUGGGUUUAAGAUCAAAAGAUGAGUAUGAGACAAGAGUUCAGAAUUUCAGCUUUUAUUUCCUGGUAUUCACAUGUAGAUGUGUUAAAAAACUCAUGACAUACCA
rnacentral:lncRNA from 1 species